rnacentral:rRNA from 1 species
GGAUACCACCCUUGUAGUACUGGGACUCUAACCAUAGGCCAUGAAUCUGGUCUUGGGACACUGUCAGGUGGGCAGUUUGACUGGGGCGGUCGCCUCCCAAAAAGUAACGGAGGCGCUCAAAGGUUCUCUCAGUACGGUCGGAAAUCGUACGUAGAGUGUAAAGGCAAAAGAGAGCUUGAUUGCAAGACAUACAGGUCGAGCAAGG